rnacentral:rRNA from 1 species
CUACGUAGGGGGCGAGCGUUGUCCGGAAUUAUUGGGCGUAAAGGGCGUGUAGACGGUCAUAUAAGUUACAGGUGAAAGCCCAUUUUUCAAGGAUGGAACUGCCUGUAAGACUGUAAGACUUGAGUGCAGGAGAGGGAAGCGGAAUUCCAAGUGUAGCGGUGAAAUGCGUAGAUAUUUGGAGGAACACCAGUGGCGAAGGCGGCUUACUGGGCCGUAACUGACGCUGAGGCGCGAAAGCGUGGGGAUCGAACAGGAUUAGAUACCCUGGUAGUCCAUGCCGUAAACGGUGGGCGCUAGGUGUAGGGGUCUUCCACGACUUCUGUGCCGUAGCUAACGCAUUAAGCGCCCCGCCUGGGGAGUACGGUCGCAAGGCUGAAACUCAAAUGAAUUGGCGGGG